GAGUGCGCAGUAACGGCUUUAAAGGUCCGCAGCAUGGAGGCGCGAGGUGAGUGCGGGCAGCCUCGUUAUGUCUGAGAGGGAAGAGGAGCAGCGGCAGCAACAGACGGUGAUGGCGCUGCCGCCGCCGUUGUCUGACUCGAAUCGGACAGCAUCACCACAGAAUGACGGACUUAGUUCUGCAGGUGAAUGUGACUUGCAUAAAAAUAUUUCCACCACUGGCAAUUCUUUUCCAAAUGAGAUGCUUGUGCCAAACUUGGAGCCCUCUGAUAAAACCAACACUUCUAAAUCAAAAGCUACAAUUAAUGAGAGUAAAGCUGACAAACAGGAAGCCAGUUUGAAACCCUUUAUGGAUUUGACAGAGACAUCAGUGGUGCAGGUUGAAUCUCCUGAAGGAUCGGCAUCAAUGGACACUGAAUCUCAACCUGAGAACUCCCCACCUGAGAGAAUAGUGGGAGAUAUUGAAAAUGUAGAACUGAAUGAUUCAGAGCUCCCCUUCCCCAAAGAAUAUGAAAAGUUUUGGAAGGUGGUUGAGGACAAUCCCCAGGACUUCACAGGUUGGACAUACUUGUUGCAAUAUGUGGAACAGGAGAAUCAUAUCCUGGCAGCCAGAAAAGCUUUUGAUCACUUUUUGUCUCACUACCCAUAUUGUUAUGGCUAUUGGAAAAAGUACGCUGAUCUUGAGCGGCGACAUGACAACGUGAAACAGGCAGAAGAGGUGUACCGACGAGGACUUCAAGCAAUACCUCUUAGCGUUGAUCUUUGGCUUCACUAUAUCAAUUUCUUAAAAGAGAUCUUGGAUAGCAACUGUCUAGAGACUGAUGUCCAAAUAAAAAGUGUAUUUGAACAUGCUGUGUUAGCUGCAGGGACUGAUUUCCGCUCGGAUAGACUUUGGGAAACUUACAUCAACUGGGAAAAUGACAGGGGAAAUUUGGAAGAGGUGACGGCAAUUUACGAUCGGAUUAUUGGUAUUCCAACACAGCUUUACAGUCAUCACUUCCAAAGGUUCAAAGAUCAUGUUCAGAAUCAUUUGCCUAAAGAUAUAAUCUCUUCAGGGGAUUUUAUUAAACUACGUCAAGAGCUGGCAUCCACAAAUGAACGUUUUGAUAAUGAUGGUACUCCAGGAAAUGAUCUAGCAGCUGGAAUUGAUAUAAAUGAUCCUGCACAGAUUGUUUCUGAAAUAGAGAAUAUGCGUCAUAGAAUAAUUGAAGUUCGUCAGGAAACAUAUAAUCAUAAUGAGAAUGAAGUUAGCAGACGAUGGAUUUUUGAGGAAGGGAUUAAACGACCUUACUUCCAUGUGAAGCCAUUGGAAAAAGUACAGCUUAAAAACUGGAAAGAUUAUCUUGACUUUGAGAUAGAAAAUGGAACCCUUGAACGUGUGGUGGUUUUGUUUGAGAGGUGCCUUGUUGCUUGUGCCCUUUAUGAAGACUUCUGGAUAAAGUAUGCUAAAUUCAUGGAAAGCCACAGUGAUGAAGGUGUGCGACAUGUGUACAGUAGAGCAUGUACAGUUCACCUCUCAAAGAAACCAAUGGUACACUUACUUUGGGCAGCUUUUGAGGAACAGCAAGGGAACAUUAAUGAAGCAAGAAGAAUUCUUAAAACACUCGAAGGAUCUGUGCCUGGGUUAGCCAUGGUCCGCUUAAGACGAGUGAGCCUAGAACGCCGCCAUGGAAAUAUAGAUGAAGCGGAGUUUCUGCUACAAGAUGCUAUUAAAAACAGCAAAACGCCUAGUGAAGCAUCUUUCUAUGCUGUGAAGUUGGCUCGUCUUUUAUUCAAAGUAGAGAAGAGCCUUCCUAGGGCUAGGAAGGUUUUAGUGGAAGCCAUAGACAUUGAUCAGGAAAGUACCAAACUAUAUCUGAAUCUGUUGGAACUUGAAUAUAAUUCAGAUCUCAAACUGAAUGAGGAAAACAUUCUGAAUGCUUUCGACAAAGCAAUAAGUAGCUCAAUGCCAAUAGAAACAAAGAUAGCCUUCUCCCAGCGAAAAGUUGAAUUUUUGGAGGACUUUGGCUCUGAUGUGAAAAGACUCAUGGUGGCUUAUGAUGAUCAUCAAAAGCUUUUGAAAGAGCAGGAGUCAUCUAAAAGAAAGGCAGAAAAUGGGCAAGUAGUGUUUUUUAGUGAAUGUAGAAAUGGCAAUGGAUCAAGAGUUGAUUGAGGACCUCUGCUUUGGUCAGAAGAGCCAGAGGAGAAAAAACAAAGGAGUGAGGCAACAUUAGCAUCUGCCCAGCUGAUGAGUGGGGACUUGCAAGCUAAUCAGUCUGCAUAUAACUACAAUGCUUGGUAUCAGUAUAAUUAUCCAACACCAUGGAGCUAUGGACAGUAUUACCCACCGCCCCCUACCUAAUUUGCUGGAAUUUCUUGAGAAACUGAAGUGUUUCCUUUUCGUUAUAAAAUUGGAAGAUAUUGCAGUUUAAUAGACAUGCUAUCCAAGACUGUGGAAUUUUUUUCAAGAGAAAGUUGUUUACUGCAAAAUAUUUGAGGUCGGACAUGAUUUGCGUUCAAAAACAUUUUGCGAAUUCUCAUACCUUUUUUGAAUGUGAUUUUUAAAGAAACUUCUCUUCAUACAUAAUUUGUUAAUAGAAAAAUAAAUUUUAAAAGCACUGCAGAGCACCACUGAUGGUAUAUUUUCUUAACUGGCAAUUUCAUGCAAUUGUAGAAUUUUGAAAAAUAUGCUGAGAACUAUGUAAUCAAGUUUUUUUUAAAAACUAGUACAUUUGUAAUUGAGAGAUUAACUUCAAAGAAAUAUAUUCUGUUUCUUAUUCAAUUAAAAUAACUACAUAUAUGGGAGUUCUGACUUUAGAUACCUCAAAGUCAGUGAUGCAUCCUGCUUUGUGAAGUAGUACUGAUGGAUCUAGUAAUUCUUAAACACAUUUAAGCAAAGGGAUCUUGAUCCACUCCUGCCUACUUUAAACUGAAAUUGUGUUACUACAUGUUGCUAGUCUGUUCAACAUUAAAAUUAGAAGUUGCCUAUUGUAAAUGCACCUGCUGUAAUUUUAGCAAUUUUAUUAAACAAAGGAUUGCCGCCAGUCAUAUUUGUUAGGAAGCAGCAAGUAUAAAAUAGGUACUGUAUAUGUUUAAAGACUGUCUUAUUUUUUGAGCAUUUAUUUUUUCCAAACUGAAACCGAACAUAAAUUCCACGCAUUCAAAAAAAAAACAUUUCUUCCCUUUAAGCAAUUAAGAGCAGCAGGAGGAUACCAGUUCAAUACUUGACGUUUUUUUUUUAAUUAAACAGAGGUUCAUCAGCUAAAAAUGGUUGCCAGAAACACACACUUGAAGAGAGAGAUGAUCAGACUGGUAUUCUGGAACAAUGUGAUUCAAAUGAGCAAUUGUAUUUUAUUUCAAACCUCUUCUAAUAUAAAUGAGAAUUUUACCAAGCUUA